rfam:Gossypium arboreum cultivar AKA8401 contig_75_7, whole genome shotgun sequence.
UAUUAAAAUUUUCAUCCGUUUGUACUAUUAAAAGCUGGUAUGGUUGAUGAACCACACGUACAUCAUGCUAAUGCACAGGACAGUUUUUAAUAAUAAAAAUGGAUAAAAUUUUUAACA